GCCUGGCCACGGUGGCAGAGCAUUGGGCUAGUAUUCCAAAGGCCUCCAAAGGUCGUAGGUUCGAUUCCCACCGUGGCUAGGCA